GACGAACGCUGGCGGCGUGCUUAACACAUGCAAGUCGAGCGGUAAGGCCCUUCGGGGUACGACGAGCGGCGAACGGGUGAGUAACACGUGGGUGACCUGCCUCUAGCUCUGGGAUAAGCCUGGGAAACGUGGGUCGUAAUACCGGAUAUGACUCCACGGCGCAUGUUGUGGGGUGGAAAGCCUUGUGUGGCUAGAGAUGGGCCCGCGGCCUAUCAGCUUGUUGGUGGGGUGAUGGCC
rnacentral:rRNA from 1 species